GAUGAACGCUAGCUACAGGCUUAACACAUGCAAGUCGAGGGGUAACGAGAGGAAAGCUUGCUUUCCUUGUUGACGACCGGCGCACGGGUGAGUAACGCGUAUCCAACCUGCCCCCAACUAGGGAAUAACCUUGCGAAAGUAAGACUAAUACCCUAUAGUUUCCUCAGAUGUCAUCUGACGAGGAAUAAAGAUUUAUCGGUUGAGGAUGGGGAUGCGCCUGAUUAGCUUGUUGGCGGGGUAACGGCCCACCAAGGCAACGAUCAGUAGGGGUUCUGAGAGGAAGGUCCCCCACAUUGGAACUGAGACACGGUCCAAACUCCUACGGGAGGCAGCAGUGAGGAAUAUUGGUCAAUGGGCGGAAGCCUGAACCAGCCAAGUAGCGUGCAGGAUGACGGCCCUAUGGGUUGUAAACUGCUUUUAUACAGGAAUAAAGUUAGCCACGUGUGGUUAUUUGUAGGUACUGUAUGAAUAAGGACCGGCUAAUUCCGUGCCAGCCGCCGCAGUAA
rnacentral:rRNA from 1 species